rnacentral:rRNA from 1 species
UACGUAGGGUGCGAGCGUUGUCCGGAAUUAUUGGGCGUAAAGAGCUUGUAGGCGGUCUGUCGCGUCUGCUGUGAAAAUCCGGGGCUCAACCCCGGACUUGCAGUGGGUACGGGCAGACUAGAGUGUGGUAGGGGAGACUGGAAUUCCUGGUGUAGCGGUGAAAUGCGCAGAUAUCAGGAGGAACACCGAUGGCGAAGGCAGGUCUCUGGGGGUGUGCUGACGCUGAGACACGAAAGCCAGGGGAGCGAACGGG